GCUAGCAAAUAGCUAGCAAUGCUAGCAAUAGCCACCGAGAGCUGUGUGCUUUCCUGCAUGAACCUGGCGCUUGCUGUACCUCAGAGGAAUGAAGUGCUGUACACCAAAGGUUCCUCGGAUGGUUUUUUUUCUAACACAAGACCAAAAAAAUAUUAAUUUUGUACAGAUAUUCCUUGGAAGGAGGAGCAAGUCUUUACAAAAAAAUCUUGUUAUAAAAAGAGCCCCAAAAGAAUUAAGCUAAGUGCUGUACAUACAAACUGGAAAUCCUUGGAUACGUGCAGUGUAUUUAAUUGAAGAAUUACAUAAUCCCAUGUUCCUGUUUCUAUCCCAGUAUUCACCAAAAGCAGUCAUUCACUUCAGUUCCUUUAUUUUACCCCUGCAUUUUUAUGCUUGAAGCAUUCAAAGACUGUAAAACUGUUCUUGCAAUGCAUUCGUCUUUAAACGAUUUAGAGCUAGAAGAAUCAUAGCUUCUGUGUAAUUAUUUCCCAAACCUCCCUGCUGUGAAUAUUCAAAACUCACCAACUAUUUCGAUUAAUUUCUGAGCCACUGAUGACUUUUUAAAAACUUACUUUUGCUCUCAUUCUUUGUUGCCUGAACUGGUUAAUUUAAAACAGAGUAAGCUGAGAUUUUGUUAAAUAUUUUUGGGAGUGCCCAAAGAAACUUAAAACACAGCAUCAUCUGAGAGAAUGGUAACUGAAUUGGAAAAGUUAGCUUCAGCAGGAGGGUGGAGCAAUUAUCAAAGAGUAAGAAAAAUAUCCUGGGAUGUGUGUCACAGAACACUUGGAAAACUGCAUGUUGAGUCCUAUCUGUUAAAAUUUCAGUUCUUCCUCUAAGAUAAAUCCAGUUGCUGUACCUUAUUUCCCGGUUUAUCAAGUCGCUUCUGUAAUAGAGACACUUUAUUUUUUCAUUUAGUUUAAAUCAUAAAUUUUGUUUCCUAAAACUUUUUGGUUCUGUAAUAGCCUUUUUCCCUCUGCUGCAGUACUAGGCAGCUGCCUUGGAAGGGUUUCCAGUUCUCACUCCUCUCCCUGACUUGCCAGACUAAGCUAUAAAAGGAAGCAAAGGGGCUCAAGAAAUACAGCAGAAAAUGAGUAUUGGUCAGGCUUACCUGGGAGCUUGGGCAGGUGCUCGAGGUGGCUGGGCUCUGUGGAGUGUGGCAGGGCGACAAAAGAAGUCUUACAAACUUUGAAUCUGGAGCCUAUUUUUAGAGUAGGAUUUGCUGACUCUGACCUUCAGUGCUACCCACUCCAAAGGACGGUCUUUGCAUCUGCUGGUAAAAGUAUUCCCUGAUGUCACCUGAAACAUUAAACCUGGCAAUUUAGUUACCUAGCCUCAGUGAAACUGAUAAUGGGAUGUCUGUGGGUCGACUAUAAUAACACAGAAACAAUCCUUUUAUCUUCUUGUCCUUUUGUCAAGCCCGGUGCCAAGUUUACCACGGCAAAUGUGCUGGGAGCAUUUCCCUUCUGCUUCCUGCCAUGCUGUGCAUGGGUGAUUUGGCACUGGCACAGCAGUGGGGUGACCUCCAUGCUGUGCAGAGAUCUUCAUGCCCUGCUUGCACACCUGCACUACCUGCUGCCUUGUUUUCCUCCAGCUGCCGCUCUCAGUAUCAAUAUGACUUCUGAAAUGCUUUUUUUCCACCUAGAAAGUGGCAUGGAGCUCUGGUGAUGUGGCAGAACUUUACAGAAAGAGGAGGAGGUACACAGGUGGAAGGUGAACACAAGCACUCCUACCACCAGCACAGGAAGGCAUUACCUCCACUCAGGCUGUCCCCUGGGGCGUGAAGGUGUGCUGGGGUGUGCCUUGCUGGGACCAGCUACACAGUGGCUGGGCAACCUGUUCUGGGGCUUUGCCUUCAGCCUUGACCUCAUGCCCUCAAUGGACUAGUUGUCGAUGAAUACACAUUGAGUCUUCUCUCAUCUCUUUUAAGAAAGAAGUGGCCUGCUGUGCAUGCCAGUGCCUGUAACCAAAGCUUAGGUUACCCAUGCAUUUUGUGUCAUUUUUUUUUUUCCAAAAGCACCCCAAGCACAAGGUAGGUGCCAUUAAGUUUCAGACAGACCCUAGCUCCAGUCUUUUAGGGGGUUUUAAUGAGAGUGCAGCCACCUCUGCUACUCCAUCUGUUAAAAGCUAAAAUUCAUUUCCAGAAGGAGCAGGCCCAGCCUUGGUCGUGGCUGUGGCUAAUACUGCAGUACAGAUGUGAAGGAAUAACAAACAGCUUCAGUUCAAGUUCUGGGCACUGGACCCGCUGCUGUUUUAUGCUAACAGCAGCACUCCGGCCAAGUUUUUGUAUUACCGAAGGGCCAAACUCCUCCCUGCCAAUUAUUCAGACAGUCACUCUUAAAAUGCGAGAGAGCUUAGACGUUAGGAACCCGCUGUGCCUUCUAAGUCACCUCAGGAGGUUGUUGUGGAAAUUAAUUCUAUACUGAUAACAGAGAAACUUGGGUGGAGGAGGAGAUACAGACCCUAUAUAACAGAAACUAACAUGGGUUGCUUUAUUUUUAUCCCUGUAGGCGACCCAGUCCGGGGGAAUAUGGGUAAAGUGAUAUGGCAGCACAGGCAAGGAGAGACCGCGUGAGGUGCAGAUCUGAGCACUGCGUGGGGAUGGCAGCGGCCUCCUGCUUCCCUCCGGCUGUCGCCCCACCAGGUUGUCUUUCUGAUGUCAGGCCGAUGGCACGGCAGUGUCUUGUGGUAUUGUUUUUUCGGGCUGACAUUUUGAGUGCCAGGAAUAUUAAGCUGAAACAGAAGUAUUUGUUUGUCUGCCUGGCUGUCAAAACAAUGCGAGCCCUUGUGCCCCUCUCCGUAGGGUCCUGAGAGUGUGUAGGGAGGGAUCAUUCACCUCCUGGAAAAGUGUUCUAUUUUGGGGAACGUUUGUGUGUGUUUCCAUUAGUUUUGCUUUUGUUAGGUAAAAAAUAUUAGCUGCCGAGAUGUUUUGAGAACAGCUGACGAGUUAGAUUGCUUUGGAGCCCAAACACUUUGGGAAACGUGGCAGGCAGGCUCUUAUUUUGAAAGAGGUAAGCACCUGCCCUCUGAGAAGUUGAAGAGUUGCCUUGGGCUCUUGGAAGCAGAUGUUUGCCGUGUUGUUGGUCAGUUCUGAAAGUCUUGGCUAAGCUGAUGGCCCUUUGAACGCCUGGUUUGCUCCUCUCCCUAGGGCUGUCUGUGCUGGUGGGGCUCAGCUCUCACUUGUGCUCACCCACUGGUCCCACUCUUCCGGCUGAACAAAGCAACUACAUCAGCACCAGUCAGAGCAUUGCCCUGGAGCAAAACUCUUUGUCCCUUUAUUCUUCAUGAGUACUCUAAAAGUGUCAUAGGACCAACCAAGAAGAGUGCCAGACACUGCUCAGAUACAUAACAAAAGGCAACUUCUAGCCCUCACAACUAAUAUUCUAGAUAAAACACAAAGACUUAGGUGGCAGAAAGGAGGACACCCAAGUGGAAUGAGCACUACCUUGGCUGGAAGGAUGCCACAGCUGUGGGAAGGAUGAGAAUUGAAGUCCCUUCAGGAGGGAGGAAAGGAGAGGGGGGAGCAAAAGCUACUUUUUUAGUUUUUUAUUUUUUUUAAAUCUUAGGAGGACUGAAUUUCUUCCACAAACACUGGCUGAAGAAAAGGAGAAGGGAGAGAAAUGAUAGAUUUCUGGCCAGACCACACUAGAGCUCCAGUUGGAAAAACCUGACAUUCUGUUUUCUAAGGUUUGAAACUUAAACGUUAGUUGAAAGUAAAAGCUUUGAGUAAAGUUCUUCUUUAAAAGACUUCCCUCCCCCACUCCAACCUGGUGGACUGGGAGAUUUCCUCUUUGCUACAAAAUAUGCUGGGAUUUGGAAAAGCAAGAUUUUUAACAAUUGCAUGGGAAGAAUAAGUGUAUAAUUAUGAGACUGUCCUAAUGGACAAUUGCAGCUGUACUGAGAUGUGAACAGCAUGCAGAAACCAUUACGAUUCCAGUUGUUUGGCAAAACUUAAGAAACUUUAUAUAUAUAUGUUUUAAAGUUAGCUGUAAAGUAAAUCCAGAUGGUUCUCUCUUGCACAGAUGAGCAGUCUUCAAACUAGACGUAUAGCUGUAGCCUAGCUAUAACUUGUUUUGAUUACUGCAGAUAGAGAGAAAUGUUUUAGAUGACUGUGCACCCUCCUCACAAAGUGCCGUGUACCUCUGAUUCUUGCUGAAGUCAAUUGGUGUUUAUGCAGCACUACAUAAAACUUGUUGUCCAACACCUUCCCUGCAUGAGAGCCUGGUUGUGCACAGUGUUUACUCCCUCGUUUUGCUGAGGAAUGGCUGAAGGGCCCCUGCCAGGGGCUGGGGCUCUGCUGAGGUAGGCCCUACAGGACCAUAAAACAAGGAGGGUGCAUAACCUACUGCUUGAACUGAAUUUGUUCUUUUUUCCUCAUCUCCUAGUUAAGGAUUACCAGAAAACAUCGGUGGUUUAUUUUUGACUGAUGAUGUAUUCAGAGUUAUAUUUGAGUCUUUAAUAAGUGCUGUCUGUUGUGUUCAUCGCUUUAUUUCAGCUAGACGUCAGUUUUGCUAGCUUCUAUCAGCAGGGAAUCGAAAUUAUGUUGACUCAGGAGACCAUCCUGCAAAUCAAAUCAGAAGGGAGGACUUGGUACACAGGGCAAGGAUUUCAGUGUUUGAGUGAUUUAAGCCAGCACAUUAGGAGCAUUUCUGAAACUCUGAGAAGGGGAUGAACUGAAAGACCUAUCAGAAAUGAUAGGCUUAUGGUACGUUUCUAUUUAUGUUGUUUUUCUUCAGUCAAUAAAUGUGUUCUUGUAGAUAAGAGUUUAUAUUGUUUGUCCAAGUAGUAGAGCAAUAGAAAUAUUGUUUAUGAGUUUCUUAGGCAGUGCUAUCAGAAUGGUAACUUGGAUUUGACCUGGUAGAAAUCAAAUUUUUUACUGGUGUUUUUCCUGCUGGCAGGGCUGAUAGUCCAGCAGUCAUGACUCUGUUUAUAAGACAAUAUUUGAGACUGGAGGCAUUGCAAAGUCCCUGGGGGCCAGGAGAGGUGGACCCUGGUCAUGACCUAGGUUCUCUGGGAUGGUGGGAAGAGCCUGGGGCAGGGGCUUUGCCAGGAGCCUUGUUCUCUUCUCUGCUUUUUCUCUCACUGUCAGCAGAAAAAAAAGUGUUCUGGGUGAUUUGUACUUAAGUUGAGUAUAAAUCCUGAAGCACCGUAAUGGCAAAAUAAGGGAUGAGGGCUUUCUUGUAAUUUUCCCCUACUGCAGAAUGCUGAGAACAGAAAGAGUCUGGGGCCCCAAACUACUUACUCCCUUAUUUCUCAGUGCUGAGAGAUAGCCUUGUGAGAAGAGCCCCUGCUUGAGAAGUCCUAUGGAGAGAAAAUAUUAACCAGUGAGUACGCUAUGUGCAGUGCGGAGCAUCCUGAUGUGCUCCCGAGGUCCAAAAAUCAGGUACCUCCAAUUGUUCACAGAACGUGGCAUUGCCAAAAUUCAAGAUAUUUUUGUUUUUAACAUGCUGGUGAAUUGCACGCAGGAUUGCACUUGAAUUCUCUUGAUGACAGGCUGGAAAAGUGCCACUGUUUUUUUCUACUCUGUGUCCACUGGGGUAAGAAGGCUUUUUUCUUCUUCUAUCUGUCCUUACUCACAUAUUGCUGCAGAGAUUCCAGGUGCAUGUGGUACAACAUAUUCCCUAAGCGUAGCAUGCUUAAAAAAUGAAACAUGGAUUCUUGGUAUGUAACUCUGAUCAGACAGCUUUGUCCAGACAUGCUGAGAGUAGGUUUCAGGUCAGAGUAAUCUCAUGGUGUAUUCAUUGCCAAGUCUAGACUUAAAAUGGAGCUGAGAGCCAAAACUGGAUUGAUGUUUGCUGUCUUCUUGGUGUGGGCUCGUUGGCAUUGCGAAUGGAGGAACUUGAGAACUGCCAUGCUGGUGCUGUUGUUCCGGUGUCUGUGCUGCUGACCAUGGUCAGUAACAAACACCUUAAAGGAAGGUAUGCUAAAUCUAUGCUCCCUAUUUCUGGGACGCAUUUUCUGCCCCCUAGACGAGCUGUUUAAUCUCUCUGCUCCUCAGAUAAAGCUUGGCUGGAAGCCUGAAGCAUAAAGUUUUAUAGCUUUUCCAAAACUAUUUCUUUUCUUACAAUGUAGAUUAUCUCUGGUGGUGGUUAUCCUUUUUUUUUAAUGCAACUAUUCAGUAUUCUUUUUAACUCUUCUGUGCUCUUUGCCUCCAAGUGUUGUGAUAAUGAGUUAAACAGACUAAAUAAUUAGAAUAACUGCAACUUAUAGCUUGAACUGGUUUGAAAUAUGUCCCCUCUUCAUAUUUUCUGAGCCAGCCUGGGGGAAGUUUGUCCGACCACGGGCUCAGGUGCAGUUGUUCUAAGGCACUUGAAACAUCUGGCCCCGUGGUACGGUGUAGCUACAGCCUACUGUCCGUAUAGAAGUAAUCAAGCACACUUCGUGUUGUAAAACCCCACAACAACUAAACAAUGCCUCAUAAUCCACAGGAAUGUUCCAUACCACCUCAGGGCAAGUGCCUUUUAAUGGCUUUUUUACUCCGAGUUUGAUCAGAUUCCAGACUCUUUUAAGAUGAGAGCACCAUAAACGUUGGAAAUGAGGUACUCUAUUUCAGGGAAAAUACAAAAGCCAGACUGCGUAGUUCUGUGAAGUAGAAACAGAGUUGUUACACUAUGAGAGAUAGCAGGGCUGCCUUAAUAGAUGGCAUUCAAGUGCAGCUGUUUAUGGGUCUUAACUGGUGUUGGCCCACAAAACACAUACUUAGAAAGGAAAUCAGGGAAAGCUAACACAUGCCUGGGGGCUUUGAAGUUGUUAUUAUCAGCCACAUACAAAAGAACGGGAGAUCCUCUCUAGUCCAGCAAGUACUGAGAAAUGAAUGAGUUUGGCUGGCGCAUACAUCAAAGGUCUUCACUUGUAAUUUGCUUAAGAGAUUAGAAAUGAAAUAUGAGGGAAUUAUUGAGGAAGAGCAAGCUGCUGCUUUUUCCCCCUUGCAGCAGGAAAGAACAAUUGAGCGUGUAUUCUGGCUGACAGUGAUUACCGAAAAGCUUUCUGACAACCUUGAGCAAAACAGCGGUUGCAUCUUAGUUUCACUGACAUCAAAUAAGCAUUUGAUUUACUGAGACCUGAUUGGACCUGUCCGGUGCCAAGGAGUGUCUUUGAGACACAAACAAACUUGAUAAAGCUCUUCCUUUACAGAGCCACAAUCUCUAAAGCACUGCAUUGCCAGACCAUGAAAUGUGCUCUGCAUUUUAGCUACCAGAAAUAUUUUGCUUCAGAAGUAAAUGAACAGAACCUAGCGACAAACAUUUGAAGCUUGCUACUGUUUCCCUUGCUGUCAAAUGUGAUUUUUGCUUUGGAUGUUCAAGAGACUGAAACCACUAGGAGGGCGGCAACGUUGUCUGGUGAUUAAGCUGUGGUUGGACUGAGAGAUACGAAGGCUUGACAACAGCUGUGAUCUUUCUGGAACAAAACUGACUAUGAAUGCUUUUGAGGUGAAAGUAAAGAUUUCUAGUGAAGAGAGAAGUGACUUCCUGAAACAGCUUACAGCGGGAACGCGGAGCGUGAAAAACCUUUGAUUUCUCAGAGUUUUGAGGAAAGAAAAAAUGAGAUGAAUUUUUUAAAGGGAUUCAGAGAUGUUGGCAGAAGUGCAGGUCAAGGGAGCCUUCCCAUUGCGUGUGCCUUGCUGCUGCCAAGUCAGAGAUUUCAUGGAAUGACUUGGAGCUUCUAGAUCAAGACAAGAUACCUUAAAUAAAAGAUCCUGACCUUUCCUGGAACAGACACAGGAGCUGAUAGGUGUUAGUCUGCAACCCUUAUGACCUAAAAUCACAAUCUGUGAUUCUGUGAAAUGGAAGAUGCUGACUGCAGAUAACUUGCAUGUUCAUUUCUGACCUUUCUUUGGUAGUGUAAAAUCUGUACAAUUUGCUGACUGUAUAUCCAGCAUGUGCUUUAUUGCUUUUUCUCCCCCUCAACACACCAACUGUUACUGAGUGUUCUCGGUCCACGUCAUCUCCUUUAGGUCAGGAUUUAACCCAUCCUUUUAUGCUCUGAAUGGAGAGCGUUAAAAGUUUCUGUCCAUAACUUCAUUGUACGCAGAAGACCAUCAGUCCAGCUUAGUUAUUGUCUUAAAUAGCUGAGGCAGGAGAGUAACAAAUGAGUGCAUCUGUUUCCCAGUCAGAAUUAAUCACCAGUAUUUAUCCACAGAGCAUUGCUACUCUUAAUUUUCAUGCAGUGUUAAAAUAUGCAUUCUUGUGAGGCAAGCCUGGCUCUCCCACACCUUUCAACCCAUCCACGUUACCAUGCUAGCAAUGAGGAUUUUUGCUCCUCCACUAAGACUCCAAAGCACCUGCAUUUCUGCAGGAAUCCAUUCAGCACGCUUCAUUCCAGCCGUUGCAGAUGCUGAUUUCAGUAUGAAUUAUGGCCUCAAUCCCAUACAUCUCACAAUUUACAGAUUGCGAACUGACAGCCAAGUGUUCUAAAAGAACAUUCAUGUUGAAGAUCUCAUGUGAAUGAAAAUGAACUCAGAGUGACAGCAGCCCUGAGACAAACGCCCUGUGCUGGAGAGGGGCGUGCGGGGGGUGGAAGGAAACUCCCUGCCGCCAGGAGAGGGAUGGCAGGGCAAGGCAGGAGGAGCAGAACUGCGGGGUUGCUGGGCGGGUGGUCGCUGAGAGAGGCUGAGAAAUCUUUCCAGGAAAAGAGGAUUUGUGUUCAAGAUGCAGAACUGGAUUUUGUCAGGAAUUAGGGCAGGAGUUGUUGUCUAUUGCAACUGUAGCUCAUUUACUGUUAGGAAAGUAGCGUGUAUAAGUAGUACAUAAAAUUACUGCUAAGCAUAUUUCUGAAUUCUCUUGACUUUUCCAGUGAUGUGAAAAAGCCUAGCUUGAGAGAGAAAGAGAGCUGUGCUGCACAGCACAGAUAAGUCCAGCUUUACCUAUUGACUUAUCUCUUUAAAAAAAGGAGGGAGAGAAGAGAUGGGGGGAAACCAAAAGGAGGAAAAUCUUGAAAGUAGAAUACAUCAAAUAUUGUUUCCUUGGAAACAAAAAGAAAGGUUACAUCACAGGGUUCAAGGCUAUAAAUGGAAACCUAGCAGUGCAGAUGCAGAAGAACUCUUGUUCCUAGAGGGAAAAUUUAGAAAUGAGCAUGACCUCCCUUUAGAGCUGCUGUCACAACGCAGUCAGCACAGCCCAAUCUGGAGGCCCAGCAGUAAAUUUAGCUGCUGCCGUAUGACAGUCUUCUCUCAAUUAGCUGCAGCAUUCAGCUCAGGGAACUGGUUCAGUUGGUGAGCAGAGGUGCAAUUUUCAGACUGCUAUAAAUACAGUCAGUGUCUCCAGAGCUCUGCUAUGCUGCAGUGGCAGAAAUUACUGCUAGUCUUCAGCUUGCACCCUAAAUCCUUCAGACAGACACGGCAGGGCAGUGAAAACCUCAAGCCCUUAUUAAUGCUUCUGAAAAACAACCUGAGCAAAGCAUCACCAUGCUCAAGAGCAACAGGCAAGGUGGGAGCUCAGGCCUUCAGACACGAUGAGCUGAGGCUCUCUGGGCUGUUUUGGGGCAUCUGUCCCUCGCAGUUUCCACUGCAUCCUGCCUCAUUCCUUUCUCUUUGGUUGCCCAGCAGUGCAGUGGUUGUGGUCAGGGCUGAAGCAUCCCUCAGCACCAGAGGAAGGUUUGGAGGAAAGCCUGGAGGGCUGGUGAGGUGGCAUCAGGCGUAGCACUGCCCUAGCCAGCUGCAGGCUGGUACCUGGCUGUGUCAGGGCUCAUCUCACACCCUGCCAGUGUCAGGCCUGGGUUGUGAAUCAUUCUUGAGUUAUGGCUCUCAAUGCCAUGGAUUAUUGAUACUAUUAGCUGCAGAACCAAAUAAUGUUGUUUUCACAGUUACAAGCGUGUUCCUUCAGACAACAUCAGUGUCCUUUCUUUUAGACGACGGGUAAAGUUAUCUCUGCUUUUACAGCCUAAGUCUCCUCUGUGAGUGUGUGUGUGUGUGUACCACACUGCUGAAGGAUAGCUUAAAAAUUGGAUGAUUCGCACAUCAUCAUACAGGUUAAUGCAGUUGAAUCUUCCAUCCAAAGACUGAAGCCUUGCAUAAAUUGCAUUAUUAUUUGGUCUUUCCAGAUGUUGAAAAUAACGAAAUCGAUUGAUUAUGGUGAUAUCUGUGAGUAAAUGAUUCCUUUCAAAUUGAGACACACGUUUGUUCCAUCAUUUUAUAUGUGAUAACACAGGGCCUGGUCACAUUUCCCCUGCCUGGUGGGAAUCACCGCAGUGUGAGUGACCUUAUUGUGGCUGACAGCUCACAAAGCACUGCUCCAUAAGCUGGCAAAGUGGGACUUGGGCUGCUGGUGAGUGAACAGCUUUGCUAAAUGUCCUGGUGUCAAGAAUCUUGAUAAUGCUGUAGUAUGUAUGUAUGUAUGUAUGUAUAGAUGCACCUUUGCUUGGUACUGCUCACUUUAAGAUAGCCAAGUAAAUGAAACAGCGUGUACUUGCAGCUGCUUUAGCCCUAGGACAUGUCUGUGGUGUACCAGGUGGCAAUGCUUUAGCUUUUGUAGCUUUUUCAUGUCCCAUUGUGGUGCAUACUGCUAAAUCUACCACAGAAACUCAGCUUUCCUUGGCAGAGGAGGGGAGAAAUAUAAGUUUAUUGCUUUUGUCAAGAAAAUCACGAAAACAAUGAAUGUUAAGAUAAAUGGUAAUAAUAAAAAGAUCUCACACUUUACAGAGACAGCCCUAUGACGGAGAAGGAUGGGUACAACAGAUGAGUUCAGAACAUCUGCUGCUGGCAGAGGCACAAAUCUUGCUCAGGUGGAGAAAGGCGUGAGUUGUGUGUGUGCCUGAGCCUAAGCUGUGAUUCUGGAACCAUGUGUGGCUAUUGCCGUAGCAAACGUUAUGAUCCUGCUUCUGAACUUGUCUGGUACUAAAGGAAAUCUGGAUAAGGUUUAAACCUUGCAGUUUGUGUAAAUCUUCAGUUUAAUCUUAAGAUUUAUUUAGAAAAAAGUUUAAAGGUUCUGACUUGCUUUCCAUGGGGAAAGUUCCUGGGGAGUUGCCUUAAUGUAAAUUUUCACGUUAUGAUGGUACUUCCUUUAACUGGCUUGGAUUUGCUGCUGUAAUCUCUCAUCUCUGUGAAUCAUUGUGCCUGCACAGUUGCUGUCUUUUCAAAAUAUCUGCUAUGUAUUGAAAGCUGCUAUUUCAGUGUGCACUGCUCGGCCAGUAUAACCAGAGCACUCCAAAAGCGCAAUGGGAGAACUACUAGAAUAUACAGAAUUUUUAGCUUGACGUGAUUUUUUCCAGGUAGACACAUUUUUUUCUUCUUCUUUUUCCUUUUUCUCUCUCUCUUUCUCUUUCUCCCUCUCUCUCUUUUUUUUUCUUUUAAGCAAAGCAGCAUCUUUAUUGGCAGGCGAGCAUUCCUGAGCACUGGGAUGACUGUCAUCAGCAUGGCUAGACUGAUAAGGAUGUAUUAGCAUUCAUCUGUUGAAAAGCUUUUGUAUGACUGGCCAGAUGGAUUGUUAUUGCACUGAUACUUGACACCUGAUCAAAAGGAUCUGGGAUAGCAGAGAUGCAGGGUCUGUCUGCUGAAUGUUUCUCUUCUGUAUGCUUUCAAAUCAUUGGUGACGUGUGGACGACCUGAACAGUGAUCCUAGAUGACACAGUGAAUCUCAGUCCAUGCUUUGUGCCCACUGGAUGCACUGGAAGAUGUCUGUGCUCAUGAGGAUGGUUGGCAACCAACAGCACCAGACUGCAGCAGGUAGAAGACCCCAUCCCUUGGCAAAUGGAAUUUGUGCGAGGGGAGGCUCUGCCCACAGCUUAGGAUGCGGAGAGAUCAGCUGCUUAGAAAUGUGGGUUGAAUCCCAGGACUGCUUUUGUAUGCUACCUGAAGUUUAGUAACUGAUGGUUUGGGGUUUUGUUUUUUUUUUGUUUGCUUGUUUGUUUGCUUGUUGGUUUUGUCAACAGUCUAGAGUUUUGCUGUGCAGAUUUUCUACAUUCUAUUUUCUACUACUAUGAAAAUGUUCUUAUUUGCAAGGGUAUUUCCAAUGGGAGAUGCUUCGUCUCCAGGGUAACUUCUCUGAGAGUGGUUUUAAAAGUUGGUUUAUGGAGAGUACUGCAUCAUGUUUUGCAGUUUUUGCAGUUUUCAAACGCUGCUUCAGACAGUAAUAAAAAGAUGUUAUUCUUCUGAUGCUAUUUUUGCCCUGACUUGGCAGCCUCUCAUUGUCUGAAAAUUGGGCAGUCGUACAGGUGUACUCAGGAAUUUGAGAAUUUCAUGUAGUGAUCAAAUGGGAAAACACAAGGUGGGGAUACCACGUGGCCGCAACAAGGUGUUCAGUGACACGGUGCAGGGUGGCUACUGGCGAAGAAACAAGGAAAAGGGUUGUUAAGAGGUUGACACAGGAAUAAGGUAGCUUGAAUAGCCAGGAUUGUUGUGCAUGAGGGUGACGGAGGGAUGUUCUGGAGGCACGAGCAGGAGGAGGAGAACCAGACCCAUAUCCUCCGCUAACAUUGCUGGGUAUUUUUAGGAGUGCUUCCUGAAAGUGCUCAUGGUGUAUAAACAGAUGAGAUUCCAGGAGGCAGCAGCGAGGGGAGCGGUAUAACUCAGUGAUGCUUGUACCGCAAAUAGUACAUCGCAAAGAGCAAAUUGUUUGACUUUAUUAGAACUGCAGCCUCCUGCAACAGAUCAAGGGUCUAGUUUCUAAGCAAAAUAAUUGUAGCCUCAAGAAAGCUUAACUGUUGAAAGCCUUGCAGGACAGAUUACUGUUUGUUUGGGCUUCAGGAGUUACAUAUACUCCUUGGAUGUCAGACAAUGAAGUAAAUUUGCUAAACGCAAGCUAUUUUGAAGCCCCUCUCCACAGCAAGAUGUAGCUCAAUCUUGUGAUCAGGAAACAUGAAAUGGAAAAUAGGAGGAAGAUGGCAUCUGGCACGUGGGCUUGACAGUGCUUUGUGGUUCUGGAGGGGCAGUUAGGAGCCAGGCGGCUCUCAUCCCAGCAGCAGGGACAGGCAGCAGAAAGUCUCCUAGUCUAGUUGUGCUGUGCCAAAGUUAAAGCAGAAAUGGGAACCACUGAUUCACACGGAACAAAGCAGUGUCGCUCCGAAACAUGAAUUUCCUUGCACCUGCAAGGAAAAGGCUGAUACUCUGAGCUGUCACCACUCACUGUACCUGGGCAAUAUCCUGGCUGGCACUUCUUUCCAUGAGAAACCUGUCCUUGGCAGCAUCUCCUUCCCUGCAACUUGUUGAAAAUUUCUAUCCUCUCUUCUCCUGGCUCUUUGCAGAGCAGAUUUAUGGUCCCACUUUCCUUUUACAAAUAAAACCCUAAGUGCAAAUCCGAAGGAUAAAUAAUGCAGUGCAGACAUGCCCGCAGCAAUACUCUCUGUAUUUAUCAUUGCUGAAAGUCUGGGAGGAAAAGCUGCAGAAGGCAAGAUAUCUUAACUGAGAAAACUGUUCUCAUGCUUCUGUGCCAGUUCUGGAGGCUGGAGAGCAAUCCUGCUGUGCUGUUCCCCAAACAACCUGCUGGAGCUCAGGCAGACUCCAGGUCUCCCACAUAAAGGUUUGGCCAGACUUCAUCCACAUGCCCCAUGGGGGGUGCACGUGUCCAGAGCAGGCGCUGCAGCUCCUCCAGGGGUGGGGUGUCCCCCCUCUGCCCUGCCCGCGAGAUGCUUGAGGCUCUUCUUAUUGUGGGACGCAGCAGGUCCCUGCCACACAGUGAGUCCCGGGCCAUCCUGAAAGAUGGAAGACAAAGAGUUACCACCAGCCAGACAUUUCUGAGAAGUUGGUGCUACCCGCUUGCAGGAGACAGCUGAUGCAUAGCAGGAGGGCCUAACAGCGUGGUAGGAAGGAAGAUGGGAAACAGCAGGAGAUCCUGCAGUAGAGUACGUGGGCCCCUUUUGCAACACUGCUCUCUUAGACCCAGGAGGCUCAGUACAAACAGAGGCAGAAUGCCAUCAAGAGCAAGAGUUCAAAGACAUCCAAGGAAGCCCUUCUCUGAGACUUCAGGAGCGUUUGUCCUGCCAGGAUUUCAUUAUCUGGAAUUGCUGUUCUCACCUCCAGAGAGCACUGAUGAGCACAGAAUGUUAAGCUGAAGCAGUAGAGGGAAAGCAAGAAAAGGAUAACAGAGGUUCUACAUCAGGAGAUUCAGAAGGCUGUGGGCUAAUUUUCAAGGAGAGUGGACGAGUCUCAGUCACUGCAGGUAUUAAAAAGCUGAAGCUGUGGAGGUAAGCAGAUGGUUCCUACGCUUUCAGUUGUUGUAGCCCUCAUUGCUUUUAACUUCUGUUGUAGUAUGUCAGCUUGUUAAGAUAAUGGAGAGAGAAAAAGAGAUGGCAUUGCCAGGCCUCUUGUUCUGGGUCUGACUUUGCAGUGGUUCUCUUGGCCUGCUAGAGCUGAGACCUUUUGGUAAUGGUGGAACUCAGCAAGCGAGUCCAGCCACUGCAGCCAGCAAGGUGCUUUGCAACAGAGCUCCCUUUCAUACAGCAAUCCUCUUCCCCUGAAACGCAUUAGCAUGAUUUGCUUCCCAUGACUAAUUCCAGAGAAGUGAGCUCCUCAUGUCAACGCUCAGCAUGGCUCCUCCCAGCCACGCCGCUCUCCCUGCUGUGCUGGCCUUGAAACUGAAUUACUCCAUGGGGCCUUCAGGAGAAACUUGGAAAUAACUAUAGCAGAUGACUGGACUAAUGAGAAAAGUAAUAUGAAUUUUUUAAUUGAGGACCAGGGACUUAGCUCAGGGUUUCCUCCCUGCCCCCUUCUACUUUGAGAUGUUGCGAAGUUAGCAUCUCAAAAGUGCUGCCACAGGUCACAUUUCUCUAUGCUUCCCCCUCUGUGUGGCUCAGAGAAGCUGCUCUGGGUGGAAACAGACAGCAGGAUGGCAGGAUCCUCUGUGAUGGGUGGAAAAAAGAAGGUCACUAAUGCCUUCUGCAGAGGUCUAGUCCAUGCAGAUUAGGGAGGAUUGCUUCUCUUUUGGAACUGCAGCCUGGAAGUACCUAAGGCCAUCUCAUUGUAUUCUUUGUUUCUACCUUUCUGUUUUUUUUUUCCCCUGCAUACUAGAGACACUUGAGACUGGAUAGAGCUUCUGAAGGCAAUCCAGGCGGAUUAACCUCCUUGCUUCAUGGGGAGAAGGCAAGGAGGCAAACACUUUGAAACCCUUCUGAAGUUAACCAUCAGUCACCAAGCAUCCACAGCACCGGGGUGCGCCCUGACAGGUCUUGCUGGGCUCCACACCUCAGCUGUGCUUCUUGCAGAGCUUUGUAUCUCAACUAAUGUUAUCCUGCUGCUUGAGUACUUCAGUCUGCAAGAGAUUUUUCUUUUGUUUGUUUUUUUCUUCCAACGCUAGGAAAAAAAAAAUGCCAUUUUCUAAUGCAGAUUUUUUCUGGCAAAGAAAAAAAAUAUGCACAGCUUCCACUGACUUGAAUUAUCCAAAGCAUUUAAGAGAUUUGUGUUGGACUUGCAGAUUCCAGCCUAAGAAAAUAUCAAACUUCUGAGGAAAAAAAAAAAAAAAAAGAGAAAGAAAGAAAAAAGGAAAUCCUCUGAUGUGUAGAGGAUUUGAUAUAAUUCAUUUUGGUAUCUCAAAAGGAAAAAAAAAAAAAGGCCAUUUCCCUUUUUUUUUCCAUUAAAAAUGCUUCUUUUUUUGGAAUUUGAGUUUAUCAUUGCAUAAAAUCCUUUAAAAUAUGAAAACAAGACAAAGUGGCAUGUUCCUGGUUGAGGAAAACACGUUUUGUGUAAUUAAACACACACACAAAACUAACCAAGCAUCUUUCGUUUUCACUCCUGCAGCAUGAGGAGGGCCUGCUGCCAUUCUGCAGUAGUAUUACCAUGCCUCCUAAGGCCAGAACUGAGUUGUAGAAGCUGAACUAUCCCACUUCCCAAGAGGAGCCAGCCCAUCACAGGGCAGCAGCUGGCCCCCAGGUCCUGCCCUACCGCCACCACGUCCCCUGCACCUUCCCAGCUGGCAAGGCUCUGCUGGUGGCUGUGGCGACAGCCUGGGGAGUGACAGGUGUCUUUCAGUGACACAAGGUGGUUGUGGCUUCAGGAACAGCAGGACUGCUGGUUUGGGGUGGACCUGUUGUUUCCAUGAUAAGGCAAACACUGGGUAACAGUAACAUGACCCUGAAAACUUCUGCAGCCAAAUAUCCUGAACUCACUGAAACAAAACCCUGCAAAUUAGGUGGUUUGCAAUACUAAAGCAUGAGGUCAGAAUAUAAUUCACAUGAAAAACAAACAAAAAUGGGCCCACUGAAGCAUUUUAAAUUGCUGUCUCUCCCGUUUUUCCAUCUCUUUUCUCUGAUCGAGCUACUCUGCAGUCGUCUUUUCCCCUCUUUUCUCACAGGUAGUGCUUCACACUAUGGCUCUUUGUCCUCCUGAUGGAAAAAUCCAGAUGGAAAGAAGUAUAGUUCACAGGGAAACGAUCAUGUAAGUGAAAUUAAUCUUUCAGAUACUGUAAUGUGAAACCUGAUCUUCCUUUUUGUUAAGAAGACCCAAUCCGUGUCUCUACAUUUUGGCCAAAAUCUGAUGCUAAGAGAACCCUGGAGUCUCUUGAGGUAGAGCUGAAAGCCUCGUGUGCAGAAACAGGCACAUUUAAAAGCAAUCGCAGAGUUAAAACAGCCAGAUGGGAACCUAGCAGGCAACUGAGAGGGGAACUCUCUGUUUUCCUUGCAAGCCUACAGGGGCUUGUUUGCAGGAAUUAGAAUCUCUCACCAGCGGUUCGCUGCAGCUCUAAUACCAAGUGGUAUUGAAAAUGAGAAGCAGGUUAUGGCUGAUGGCUUAAAUGAGGCACCUAUGGGAAUUUUGAAAUGAGAUCCUGGACGCGUCUCAGUAUAAAGCGUGCACAUGGCAGAGCAAUAUUGCUUUCUUGGCUGACUGCAUCAUAUAUUAUGGUCUUUUAUUUUGCCCACGCUCAAGCAGCAGGGAACAGCAGAAGUUCAUUGCUCCUGCUCACUGCUUAAGCCCUGCUCUGCCUUGCCAGAGGCUGUGCCCCUACCUUUCAAAAAGCAGAGGCAGUCCUUCGGCCCCUGUGCGGGUACAUGCUCAGUGCAGCACUGUAUUAAUGCCAUUUCCAUUAUUUUGGACUGAAGAGAAAAGCAGAAUGUACAAUUAAGAUUAUGCUGCCUGAUAUUUUUUGUUUUAUUUUCUGGGAGGUUUUUUUUUUUUUUUUUUUUUUUAAGAGAAUUUAUGAUUUGGGAAAGAUGCCAGACAGAGGGCUCUGGCACAUGCAGCCCUCGCUGUAGCCAUGGCUCUGCCAGUGUGGGACCCACACUGCAGUACUGCUUGGCUGGCCAGGGAGAGCCCAAGCAUGGCACUCCUCCACUGCUCUGCCUUGCCCGAUACCUCUGUAGCGGGCUGGAGGGGAUCAGUUUCUGCUUGCGAGGUGCUGGAGGUGGGCUGAGGAACAACCAAUCCACACGUGUUCUCAAGGCCAUAUCUUUCCGUGGGGGAGAAACUUAGUGCUGACCUCAGCUCCAUCCUGCCUCCCCCAGCCUCCCUUGUCAGAGCCGCACGGCCUGGGCAAUGGCACCUGCCCACAUCCUAAAGGUGUGCAAAUGGGGACGACAGGUGCAGAAAUGGGACAUCCUCACUGCUUGCGGGAUGGCAGCUUUGGCAUCUGCAGAUUCCAGGUUCAAAGGAGAAAAAAAUAAUAAGUAAAGUAUUACCUUAGCAGCUGGCAUCUUUGAGCUAUUCUGUGCACUAUCCCCAGCAAGGCAGCGCUGCCCUCCACAGGCUCCUACCGAAAUUUCCAGCUCGGCUGUGGAUGUCUGACAAGCAGGGGGUGAUGCUCUCUCCCCUUUGGCUCUCUUCUGGAGCACUGCUGUCCAGGGCACCACUGAUAGGGAUUAAAAACAAAAAACAGAAACUACCUCCAAACUACUGUUUCUCUUGGCACAUCUCGACCUGCCUGAUGCUGCUCCCCGAAUUAGAAUAGCUGUAGUUGUAAUCCCACUGCCAGCAGCCAUUCCUGUGCUGCGUGCUGUGAUCAGCAGCGUCCCAGCUUGCCAUGCCACUAACUGUUUCUAAUAGUAGAAACUUCACUCCCAUCUUAUGUAAGGAGCGGGGCAGAGCGGCUGCGGCUUGUGACGUGCUCAGGCAGAAGCUUCCUGGGGCAGCAUGUGCCCAAGGGCAGAGCUCCAGCCGGAGCAGAAGCAGUGACCUUGAUAUGUGUAAGGGCUCAGCGGCACUGCCAGCCCCGCACUGAGAUGCUGUCGGUGUCAUGGGCUGUCAAUAGGUGUCAGUUAUGGGCUCGAUAUCUGCCCAUCUGACACACGUAUUGUCAAACAGGCUGGAUUCUGAGAGGGGGAGAAAAAAAGCUCUGCAAGCUUCAGGAAAGACAAACAAAGAUGUUAAUGUACUGCUAUUAAAACAGGCUCCUAAGCACGAGCUCCUCUGCAGGCAGCAUGGAUUUGUAUAACUGUGGAUUAAGGAGUGUUUUUCUUCUCCUUGAUUUACUCCUUAAAUGACUUUUGUCUGACUGCUGCUGUCAAUACAAAAUUGAUGGUGCUGUCAAGCUCUCGAGAUUUCAGAAUAUGUGAAGGCUCAAGUCAAUGAUUUUUCCUAUUUCUCAGUAGUUUUGCAGAGGUAUCUUGCAGCUGCCUCUCUCUCCCUGCACAGUUACUGUAAGCAGUGAAGUGCUCUCCCUCGCUUGAAAGGGUACGUAUAAGAAUGGCACCUUUUGAUAAAGUUGACAAAGCUGUACAAACUCUUUGCAGUAGAAUUAAGAGCAGAAAGACUUCAAAACUCCACAGUGGAAGAUCUAUUUUGGCACUUAAGUUUUAUUUUAUUUUAUUUUAUUUUAUUUUAUUUUAUUUUAUUUUUAUUUCAGGGAAAUCUUAGAGCUCUCAAAGGAUGCUCUCAGCUUUGUUGGUGUGGAUUAGAGCAAUUUUUCUUUAGAUUUUUAGUGGCUGGUUUUUGAUUAAUUGAUGCACAACAGACCUGCCCCAUGCCCAAGGCUUGGUGUUGAUACCCCAGAGCCUCACAGCAUUGGGCAGAACAUGAGCAAGGGCCAUUGUGCACCAGAAGUUUUGAGGAGGGCUCUUUCCACCUCUCACUCAUCAGGUUUUAUACUGCUGUUUUUGUGAAGCUUGCUGAGGUUUUGCAUGGGCUGCAGGCUGAUGCCCGAGCUGGUAGGGUGGGAGCGAGGCAAAGCACAGCCCCAUGGCUGCCCAGGGCUGAGCUGAGAGCACAGGGAGCCUUUGCUGAGGGCUGUGCCUGCUGGAGGCUGUUUGGAAUGGACACGUGGGAAAUAGACUGCACAUUUCAGUCCAUUUUCCCAAAGCAAACCUCUGUGCCUCCAGCACAGCCCUAGGAAGGCUCUCCUCUGCCUGAGAAAGUCUCAGUGAGCAGGAAUAUGUUGAGGAUUGUGAGAUUCUCAGGUACUGGGAGCCAUCCAUGCACCCUGUAUAGCAUUACCAUUCUUUAUUUGCAGUGCCUGGCAUCCCAAGCAGACAUUUUUUCUGGUGCUUUUCUUGUGUUCUCUUGGCAGGCUGGGAUUUUGUAUGUAGUUUUUCUUACUAUCUCUGAAUGUUGAGUUUAUUUCAAGGUGAAAUAUUGGCAUUUGUUGUUGUUGUUAUUGUUUUGGACUUCUUUUUUCUUUAUCAUACAUUACUGUCAUAUUUUUAGUAAAACUAUGUGGGAAGAGCUGUUGCAGGAGAGUGAGGAUCGAGACUAAGCCAUUCAGAAACAACCUCUGUGAUUGCAGGAAAAGUAUAACAAAACAAAACAAAACAAAACAAAACCCUCCAAAACCUCAAAAAAAGAGCAAGAAAGUUAAUUUAAGCUUGCACUCAUUUUUAGCAAGAUCUUGAAAGUGAUUGGUUUUAGAAUUAAAAAAAUCUUGUAAUAUGUUUUGACAUGAUAUGUGAUGUAUCCAUCGGGAGACGAGAAAGGAGUAAUUGUAGAAGGAAAACUGCUACAUGCCUAUCAGAAAGGAAACAAAGAUAUCUUCUGUCAAGGAACUACAAAGCAGACAUUUUGUUCUGGGAUAACCAGCGGAGCACUGCUACUGCAUCAGCUGGUAGAGCUGGAAGAGUUGGGCAAGCUUUUGGUGAACAAGAAAGACCAUAUCUUUUCCCAAUUAUGCCGGCAGCUUUGAUUUGCACGCUACCUUUACUGACAGCCCUUGCAUCAGAGCAGCUCAGCAGCAAGGCUGGUACUGAAACGUGGUAGUUUUUCCAUUUUGCCAGAAGAUGGCAGAAGAAAGCAACCUUGUGUGCUUCAAAAACAGCGCACUCAUGGCUGGCUGUAAGAGCUGUUAGUGACAUAGGAGAAACUGCUGUGGUUGGAUGGGAGAAAAAUGUGAAGGGCACUGAAUCAAUGAAGUUGGUAUUGACCUGGGCAGAUUCAUCAACUGAUCUACACUGUAUCUUUUUCUAUGCAGAUUUUCUAUGUAAGAAAAGCCUGCAACUGUGCUCAUUCUUCCUACACACAGUACAAUUUGGCCUGGGUUUGCUCCAAGGCCAAAAUCUUUUGUAACAAACCGGGCUCUGUUGGUGUCCAGCACAUAAUGCUAUCAGCCCAAGUGAAAAUCAGGCUGAUUUGUUCUGUCUUUUAUUCUCUCUUCCCAGAAUAAUUUCUCCUUCCUUUCCCAGUUCCUCCACUCAUGGCAGGAGAAGAGCCCAGACAGUGCAAGCACCUUCACCUUGCUGCUGGAAGAGGGGCAGGUGCUGGAUGAACAACAAGCCUGAGCACUGACUGCAGCAUAGACUGGCUGCAACAUGAGCUGCUGGGCAUUGCAGUGGACUAGCAACAGUGGUCAGCUCAGACACCUCCUCUCUCUUCUCCAGGGGAAACUGACCCAUCAGCCACGCGGCUGACAAAGAACUUUCAACUGAUGUGGUGAUGAGGAAAAAUAACUGAUGAUACGGAUGCCUAUUAGCUGGACAGCAACACCCUUGUCUCAUGAGAUGAUGCUAAGACAGACCCCAGUGCCUUCUACUCUUGGGAUUCUGGUUCUGCUUGGCUUUUUAAGGUAUUGUUCUUCACAUUGUUCUAUUAGUCAAAAAGACUUUGGUCUUGGGUUGGUUCCAUGGUUAGCAGCUGGAAUAACCUUCAUCUUGUGAGGAAAACAAGUGAUGGCAACCGGAACUGCUGGUAACACCACAAACACACUGUCAGCUUACAGGGCUUUCUAUUGCCCUUUGGCUGCCCACCUCUGUCACUGGGUACCCCCUGCUAUUUGGAAGUGGAUUAAGCCUUCCUGAAAAUGAGUAAGUUUAAUAGAUUGUGAGAUGCCUUUGGAGCUGCCUCAUCCAGAAAAUCCUACAUCCCAGGUCCUUCUGCUAUACUUUCACCAACUGAUCAUUUUUGUCGAAGCAUCUCAAGGAUAUGCUGAAUCCUGUUCUGGAAUUGAGGACACUGCUGUGCUCCCUCCUGCCAUGAAGACAGGUAAGUAGGUAAGUAAGACCUGUAAGUAGGUAGUUAGACUUACCCAGUGGUUCAGUGAAGUUUAGUUAAUGCUUCUGAAGUAAUCUGUGAUCGCUUAAUGAAACUGCUGUGUUUGAACAGUGGUUAACCAGGGGAGGAACUAACCUUUAGGCCUUGUGAAUGUACUCUGAGGCUGUACAGAAAUGCAUACCAAGGUGAAAGUCCUCUGCAGAUAUUCCGUAAUGAUGACUUUCCUGCCCACAGAACAUUCAGUCCGCUUUGCUUCCCCAUGCAAUGUGCAGCAGUUGGUGACACCAAGCCUCCUCAAGCCUUCCUUGUUAUGGACUACAAAGCUGUGGAGAAUCAUGCAUGAAGGCUCACAGCAAAAAGCAACUCAGUGUUUCUUACUGCCUCAUAAUGCGGUAAAUUUAACAGGUAUUGCAGGCUCCAUUUGACUACAGUCAGUGGCCCAAACACCUUGCAAAAAUUCCGUCCACAAGGUAGCUCAGGUCCUCCUACAGCUGGACUUGAGGUGUGAUGUUGCUCAGGUUUUAGCAACCGUUUUGCCUCAGGGUGUAACUGUGUGGCGUUUCUUUGCUGGAGUAGUAUUAGUCUUGCUAAUCUGAUUAAGCUGCAGUUGAUAAAACUGCCUGCUUAAAAUUCAGUGUGAAGCUGGAUUUCUGCAGGAUGUUUUACAUCUUGUGCCCUGAGUCGCUUGUUGUGUAUCACUUAUGAAAAUAUUUCACCUUUUGACCUGAAGGGUCUUGGCCCUGUGUGCCAGCAAUGGCUAACAGGCAGACACAUAUUUAAUAAUCAAUUUAUUAACCACUUCAAAGUCCUCCGGGAUAAACGACACCAUGCAAUGUCAGCCAUUCCUACUUUAUUUAUAAUGAACAGUACAUAAUGUGUUAUAGUGCACACUAUACAAUGAAUUAUAUUUAACUCAUUUAAGGAGGCUGACUAUCGUAUCUCUGAUAAAACCAUCAGGAAAAGUAUGUCUUAGAGAAUACAGCCUUAAUUCUAGAUUGAUAUGUAAUCGCUAGGUAGCUCCUGAGAAACUGCACAUAGCUGAUUCCACAGAAACGAGCAGUGACAGCUUAUGGUACACUGGUUAUUUGGCAUGAGCUGUGGCACAGGUCCCAGUGAUGGCAGUACAGAAACAAUCCCUGCUUGUUAACUUUGCUGAGCGCUGGGUUGUGCCCUAAAUGCAAAUCCUCUCUCUCUUUUCCACACUUCCAGAAGAUGCCAUGAAACCUAACUCUGAAACGUUGCUCAUCUUAAAUGUUGUUGAUCUUAUUGAUGUUGGCAGAAUAAAGAAAACUCCAUUGACAGUAUGAACAAAUUUCCAGUUUUGCUGAUUGUAGGCUUUGAUUCUUUGUAUUUAACCUCCCUGUUGUAGAUGAGCUGCUGCAUUAGCAAACCUCUGCAUUUUUAUUCCUGUUAGCUGAAAGUUCAUCUUUUACUUACUACAUGUACUCACUGUUGUUAUCUAUACAUUUAUAGUUGGACAGCACGUGUUAAUGAGAGCUGUAUUCCCUAUCCCUUCAGCCUCAAACAGCACUUACAUACUGCCUGUGUAGAGCUCAGGCUGCUCUUCACCCACAUGCUUUGAUUCCACCUUGCAGUUUCUGGGCUGCAGGAAUGCUGGGCUUGCUGCAUUCCUGGCUGGCUGUGUCUGACCAUCUCGAGGCAGUGGUUCAUCAGUGGCUGCACACAGGGUGGUGUUGCUGGAGCGUGCUAUUUGCUUGAUGGUCCCAAACAGGUGGCUGUCCCUAAAAGUGGCAUGCACUUGGACAUGUCCUCCAGUGGGCUGAGUGCUGCCUCCCCUACAAACAGGAGUACCCACACAAAUAAAAGUUCUGCUUUAAGUCAACGUUUUACCAAAAAAUAACCACCCCCACGACUUCCCACAGAAGCAGCACUGCUGUGCUUGCCAGCACAGAGUUCUCCCCACAAAAGAAAUGUUGGUCACUGCAGCAGAGACACAGUCCCCAGUGUCUCAUGUGACCCAGUUCUAAUAAUAAACUACUGGGAAAUGGGACGGCUCCUUUUAGAGGCGAGUUCAAAAUAAAGGCCAUGCGAGCAGCAGCUGUCGUGGGCCUCUGCACAGGCCCAUUGAAUCCACUGCCCUUGCUUCUGCCUGUGGCUGUAAGCUGAUGCUGACAGAAAAUGGGACUGCACAAGUGUGAGAUACACCGCUUUCUAAUGCUCUCCCAGCCAGCAGCUCAUGAGCUUCCAGGUCUGGUUGGAGUUUCUGUGUAUUUGGUAACCCUGAGCAAAUUUCUGCUCCACACUUUUUCUCAUUAGUUCUCUAACGUUUGUAAGCUUCUACCUCCUGCAGCAUCCUGGGUGAGGUGUUACAGCGCUAACCCCCUCCUCCAGCCCUGCCUGGCUCCUGGCUUCUGCAGACUUCAUCUGGUGCCUUCAGUUCCUGUACUGGAAAAUGAAUUUAAGGGAAGCUUCCACAGGGGUUCUGCAUGACUGCUUCAGGUGACACUCUGCUUUUGUUCUUGCUUUAAGCAGAUUUAGGUCCCUUUCACCAUGUCUUGUGCUCACAGCCACCCACCCGCUGCCUCCAUUGAGCUAGUACUAGCCCUCAUUACCCACUUGCUCAGAUGGAUCAAGAAUUGGAUCGAGCUGAAAACAGCUCUCAAAAACCUCAAAAAAUGUUUUUUAGGAGCUUGCCCUGAACUGAAUGUGUAUGUAUAUAUUAUAUAUAUGACCAUAUUGAGGAAAGGCCAGCCUGGGCAGGAAGGGGAUGAAACACUGACAGUUCCUGUGGGGUCUUGGUUGGAUAAGCAGAUCCCCCUGGCCGAGCCUGCAUGCUCAGGUCAGUUCAGGAGGCACUGAGCUUGCAUUCAGGAACCUAAAGAUCUUCCAGACUGGGGCCAUCCCUCAAGGAAGAGUUUCAGCACCUUCAGUCUCCCUCAUCAUACAUCCCCUGUUGACAUGUGCAUAUUCCAAACAAAGUGCUGCUGGUGAGGCAGUAUUUUUCCUUUGUUUGGUAUCCUCAGUGUAACUCUCCAAACCCAAAUUCAAAAUGCAAUUUUUUUUCUGCUGACAGUAGAAAAGGGGGAAGUACUGAUAUCAUGUCCCAUCACAGCCUGAACUAUGGAUAGUGUAAAGGACCAGGGAGAAGAUCUCUUUUCUUCCUAGCAAGCCACAGAAGAUAGUGUUUUCUGUUACAAGAGGUUACAGGACUAAUUAUACUGCUUUUGCAUAUGUUGAUGGGAAUCCUUUUCCCUGCUCAGUGCGGGAGCCAAUAGUGCGGAGAAUAUAAAGAAGCAGUGCAGGCAGGCAGGAAAUAUAAGCAACACUACCUUUGCAGAUUUAAAACACUUCUGUGACUUGCCAGCGCCCUUGAAAAAGAGUUCCUAAGCAAUUUAUUCCAUCCACUGGGGUAUGCCAGUCCUGCUGCACAAAAUCACUGCCAUGUCGUUAGUGGCAUGGAUGCCAUACUGGCUCAGAUCCACUCAACACUUCCGUGCUCCUUGUGAAACAGUGCCCUCAUAGGAUGAGCAGUAUGUAAGAGAGCAGGUACUAAUCUACAAUGGGAGCAGCUUUCACAGCUGUGGCUUUGUGGGACAGAUGUUCAGGGGCACGCAAAGCAUUAUCCUGAUGGGAGGUUCCAUCAAUCUUUCUCGCACGUGUCUAAUUUUGCCCAGCCUAAAGCCAUUAAGAUGCUUUAUUUCACUCACAUGAAUUUCAGACUUUUCAGUGCCAUGUCUUCAAAAGGCUUCCAGACUGAAAUCUACUGUAAUGUGAAUGAAGUAUAAAUUAUACUGAAAUGUUAACUCAUGUAAAUCCUUAUUAACUCUAAUGGAGAACUUCAAAGCAAACCCAGCUCCUCCUCCGCUGCUCUGCUGCUUUGUGAGGUAUAAAGAAUUAUGCUAGCACUGGUGGGUUUUAAAUGCAAUUUUCUAUUUGAUCAUUUUUUA